UACGUAGGGUGCGAGCGUUAAUCGGAAUUACUGGGCGUAAAGGGUGCGCAGGCGGUCUUGUAAGUCAGAUGUGAAAUCCCCGGGCUUAACCUGGGAAUUGCGUUUGAAACUGUGAGACUAGAGUGUAGCAGAGGGGGGUGGAAUUCCAUGUGUAGCAGUGAAAUGCGUAGAGAUAUGGAAGAACAUCGAUGGCGAAGGCAGCCCCCUGGGUUAACACUGACGCUCAUGCACGAAAGCGUGGGGAGCAAACAGG
rnacentral:rRNA from 1 species